rnacentral:misc_RNA from 1 species
GAUGUAGAACGCAGCGAAAUGCGAUAAGUAAUGUGAAUUGCAGAAUUCAGUGAAUCAUCGAAUCUUUGAACGCACCUUGCACCCUUUGGCAUUCCGAAGGGUAUGCUCGUUUGAGUGUCAUUGUACUCUCACACUCUCCGAUCCUAUGGAUUCGGGGAGCGGUGGACUUGGGUGUUGCUGCCUUUCCUUGUGGCUCACCUCAAAUGUGUCAGUGCACCUCUUGGUUGGACAUAGUACGGCGUGAUAAGUGUCUUCGCCGGCACCUCGCAAGAGGGUGGCCGAUCGGGAGCUCUGUGCUUUCAAACCGUCUUCGGACAAUUUCUGACAACUUGACCUCAAAUCGAGUAGGACUACCCGCUGAACUUAAGCAUAUCAAUAAGCGGAGGA